rnacentral:rRNA from 1 species
UGCCAGUAGUCAUAUGCUUGUCUCAAAGAUUAAGCCAUGCAUGUCUAAGUACACACUCUAGCAAAGUGAAACCGCGAAUGGCUCAUUAAAUCAGUUAUGGUUUAUUAGAUCGUGCAAUCCUAUUUGGAUAACUGUGGUAAUUCUAGAGCUAAUACAUGCAACUGGCCCUGACUUUACGAAGGGGCGCUUUUAUUAGAUCAAAAUCAAUCAGGAGCAAUCCUGUUUUUGUGAUGACUCUGGAUAACUUCAUGCCGACCGUAUGGCCUUGUGCCGACGGCGUAUCUUUCAAAUGUCUGCCCUAUCAACUUUCGAUGGUAGGUGAUAUGCCUACCAUGGUUGUAACGGGUAACGGAGAAUCAGGGUUCGAUUCCGGAGAGGGAGCCUGAGAAACGGCUACCACAUCCAAGGAAGGCAGCAGGCGCGCAAAUUACCCACUCCCGGCACGGGGAGGUAGUGACGAAAAAUAACAAUGCUGGGCUUCAAGUCCGGUAAUUGGGAUGAGUACACUUUAAAUCCUUUAACGAGGAUCUAGUGGAGGGCAAGUCUGGUGCCAGCAGCCGCGGUAAUUCCAGCUCCACGAGCAUGUACGUAAGUUGUUGCAGUUAAAAAGCUCGUAGUUGGAUCUCAGGCCUGUGACCGGUGGUCCGCCCGAUACGGGUGUGCACUGCCGUGUCCGGUCUACGUCUGGUUUCAAUCUAUAGUGCUCUUAACCGGGUGCUAUAGAAUGCCAGAAAGUUUACUCUGAAAAAAUUAGAGUGCUUAAAGCAAGCCGUUGUGCUUGAAUACUGUUGCAUGGAAUAAUGGAAUAGGACCUCGGAUCUAUUUUGUUGGUUUUCGGAGUCGAGGUAAUGAUUAAGAGGGACAGACGGGGGCAUUCGUAUUGCGCCGUUAGAGGUGAAAUUCUUGGAUCGGCGCAAGACGAACAACUGCGAAAGCAUUUGCCAAGGAUGUUUUCAUUAAUCAAGAACGAAAGUCAGAGGUUCGAAGACGAUCAGAUACCGUCGUAGUUCUGACCAUAAACGAUGCCAACUGGCGAUCUGCCGCAGUCUGGCUUAAAGGACUCGGCAGGCAGCCUCCGGGAAACCUAAGUCUAUGGGUUCCGGGGGAAGUAUGGUUGCAAAGCUGAAACUUAAAGGAAUUGACGGAAGGGCACCACCAGGAGUGGAGCCUGCGGCUUAAUUUGACUCAACACGGG